GUCNGAAGCGGGGAUAAUACAUAAGACGGAGAAGACCUAUGGAGCUUUAGGCACAAUGACAGAUCAUGUUAAAAAACCUCUACUAAGAGAUAAAACCCAUUGAAACCUGUCCUGAUGCCUUUGGUUGGGGCGACCGCGGGGCACCAAAAAACCCCCGAGUGGAAUGAAAAUACCUUCUUCUUAAACCCAAGAGCCACAGCUCUAAGCAACNNNAUUUCUGACCUUACAGAUCCGGCACCGCCGAUUAACGGACAGAGUUACCCUAGGGAUAACAGCGCAAUUCCCUCUAGAGCCCAUAUCGACAAGGGGGUUUNCGACCUCGAUGUUGGAUCAGGACAUCCUAAUGGUGCAGCCGCUAUUAAGGGUUCGUUUGU
rnacentral:rRNA from 1 species